GGGGGCGAAGCUUGCUUCGCCUGCCGGCGACCGGCGCACGGGUGAGUAACACGUAUGCGACCUGCCCCCCGCAGGGGGAUAACCGGGAGAAAUCCCGACUAAUACCGCGUAACGCCGCGGGGCUGCAUGGCCCCGCGGCCAAAGGAAGCGAUUCCGGCGGGGGACGGGCAUGCGGCGCAUUAGCUAGUCGGCGGGGUAACGGCCCACCGAGGCGACGAUGCGUAGGGGUUCUGAGAGGAAGGUCCCCCACACUGGUACUGAGACACGGACCAGACUCCUACGGGAGGCAGCAGUGAGGAAUAUUGGUCAAUGGGCGUAGCCUGAACCAGCCAAGUCGCGUGAGGGAAGACGGUCCUACGGAUUGUAAACCUCUUUUGCCGGGGAGCAACGGGGUCCUUGCGAGGGCCUUAUGAGAGUACCCGGAGAAAAAGCAUCGGCUAACUCCGUGCCAGCAGCCGCGGUAAUACGGAGGAUGCGAGCGUUAUCCGGAUUUAUUGGGUUUAAAGGGUGCGUAGGCGGGCUGUUAAGUCAGCGGUCAAAUGUCGGGGCUCAACCCCGGCCUGCCGUUGAAACUGGCGGCCUCGAGUGGGCGAGAAGUAUGCGGAAUGCGUGGUGUAGCGGUGAAAUGCAUAGAUAUCACGCAGAACUCCGAUUGCGAAGGCAGCAUACCGGCGCCCGACUGACGCUGAGGCACGAAAGCGUGGGUAUCG
rnacentral:rRNA from 1 species